AACACGAACCUGAUAGGUUCGAUAUAGGCAACAGCGUAUUUGAUUUAACGACUGCGGCGCUCGUCGUGGUGGGCAUGAAACUCGAUUUUCGACUGUGGCGCAAUUACUGGCCGGGACGCGCAACUGUCCUCAGUGCGCGACGCCCGAUGGAGCUACGACUAGGAACGACGCAUGAGUGUUCGUCACCGAAGAAGCACGGAAUGUGCGAAGCAUUUGCAGUUCUUUACUUCUAGGAAGUGGGAAGGCAGCACUGCAACUUGUGGAUAACAGAACAAAGUGGGCGCCCCCGUCAGGCGAUAGAAGUAUGUGCUUCAUUCGAACAAAGCCUGAGAGUCAGAAGAACUGUCACAUGUGGUAAUCAUAUGCCUAUACGGCUAAUUAGACUUGUAUACUUUCUGCAGUUUCACGAGUCAUUUCACGAGCAACAGUUUCUCCCCUGCAAGCUAUGCACUUCACUUUGACUAGAGCAUGAAAAACACUAACGAUAUCGUCACGUCAACACUUUUUUUUAAAUGGGAGGGGGGUUGUUAGGUUAGAUUAUUUGGCGGAAAGAUAGCUAGGGUUAUCGGGGCACCUUUGCUAGCAUUCAAACAUUUGCCCUGCUGCGUCAAGCUAGUAGCGCACUCUAUCGUCUAGUUUUUGCAAGAUAUUCAAUCUCAUUUCAUUCUAAAUCCCGAAGUGCCGAAAGCGUUGUUUGUAGUCGUUCUGGGCACUGAGUGCGCAUGGGCGGGAAUUCAACAUCGCGCAGUGGCGAAUACACACCAGACCGUUAAACAUCGAAACAUUACGCAUGGCUGAAGAAGCAAGCAACGAAUACACGCCUCCUGCGUUCAACUUCACGCACGAAGCAACCCCAAGUACAAGCCGUGACAACACCCAGGGCGCUUCGUCUGCUCUGGGCGCCUACCCAACCAUUUCUGACAAUGCCUGGCCUUUCCAAUGGAACAUGCAGCACAGGCCAACAACCGACGGGACUUACAAUCUCGACGGUGUCACUGAAAAUGCAAACACAAGCUCCCUGCUUCUGGGGUCCAGCACCAGUAUCGGUCAUGGAAGGGCCAGCACAAGUCGCCCUGGCAUAGAGCAAGCAACAGCCAUUUUAGAAGACGGCGCCAGAUUUCCUGAGACUACCAGUGGUGGCCAAUCGAACACGCAGUAGCACACUGUUGACGGCACAUCCAGUGUCUCCGGAGGAGGUCGAGCUGCACUGUGAGACCCCCCCAAACGAAAUUUUUGGCUACGCCACUGGCCACAAGGUAUGGGCUUGUGGUAGUCAUGCCAUUGUGGUCGUUCAACCGCCGUCGCUUCAGCUUCGUGAUAUCACUCUCGCCAUGCUGUCAUCGUCAUUGCCUCCUUCUCCGACCAAGUGGUCCUCAUUAUCAAUAGCCUGGGCCACAAGGUAUGUGUUCGAGGUCGUGAUGCCGUCGUGGUCACUGCAUCGUCGUCAUUGGGUGAAUCGUUACCUUCGCCACUGUGUACUUCCUGCUGCCUGCAAUAACCGGUGCUGCUUCAUCUGCUUCGUCUGUGUGGGUGGUCGACUGCUGUAGAAACAAGCCGGCCAGCAUCCAAGUUUAGAGUACCCAGUGAUUCACCAUGCCCGGACAUCCUAGAGAAAAACUGUCAGCCUCUCGUCCUCAGUUAAAGAUGGCAAACCUCAUCGCCAUCAGCGGCCAUGCAAACACCAGACGUAAAGCGGACGCGGACUUAUACACAGCUUUUGUUAACUUGGUCACUGUGCCUCUGCACUGUUCCCGAAACCUUUCUCUCUUGCAGUGUAGGCUAGCCAAUCAUGCGAUAUCAUUGCUAGAAAUUCUAGCAAUAUUUUGCUUCUGCAAUCUCUAACAAGAAAAGUAGGAAGGUACCUAUAAAAAAAGGGGUCAGACAAGGAGACAUAAUUUCUCCAAUGCUAUU